rnacentral:lncRNA from 1 species
AGAAUAACUUCAAAAUUAGUUAAUAAUAAAUUUAUUUUUAGCAGGAAAUUUUAGCGCCAUUAGUAUUUAUAACUACUGUAACUAAACAUUAGAAAUGCAUAAUUUCUAUAGUUUCAAAAAUAUAGUUUCAAUUACUGUUUUUUUUGGGUCAAAAAUAGAAAAAUAUUUUUAACUGUAACGAAGGUUAGAUGAAAAAACUAUUUAAAGGAUAAAAAAUUUUAAAUGACAACAUGGCCGCUAGGGGUGGACGCGGUUCGGUUCGGUUCGGUUUUUUACUAAAUUUUUCAUAAUCGUUCGAUUACGAUUAUUUUAAAAUCAUAAUCGUGAUUAAUCAAAUUACCGAAAUAAUCAAAUACUUGAUUAAUUGAAAUAAUUCGAUUCGAUUCGGUUCGAUUAUUUCGAUUAUGAGCCUAUUGAGCCUAUUUUGGGCUUUUUUAAAUUUAAAACCUUAAAUUAAUAAAUCUACCACAAAUAUAAAAAGUUAACAAAUAAAAAAUCAAAAUAUAUCUCAAAGUAUGUUCAAUAACACAUAAAAUAUUCAAAUAACAAGUUCAAAUCAAAAUAAAUUAUAAUCCCAAUUACUCCUCAUCAUAGUUUUCCAUUCUACACAAACACAUGCAAUCACCAAACAUAAACUUCAGUUUCAAAAGCAGUAAUACACAUCAGCAGUAAGCUAGAAGAUAUUUAUGGAUCAAUUAUUGUGUGUGGGAUACAGAGAAUUGACCCAAAAAAGAAAAAUGUUACACUAUUCAUGAAGAACUAUAAAGUUUGAACUUUGAAGCCAUCCGAAGCUUUAAUUUGUAUCCUAUUAGAAUAUUUGUAUCCUGCAAACGGCCAUUUGUUUAUUCUGCCGUGAAGACAAUAAAAAAGGCAAAACUUAUUAAUCAACGUGUUCUUCAAAUUUGCCUUCAAAGAAAACGAAACAGAUUUCUAAGAAUGCGUGUCAAUAGCACGUGAAAAGCCAAACACAAUCACAAGUUGUAGUAAACUUUUAGCAAAUUCUUGAAUUAUGUGGCACUUUACAAAUUAAAAUUAAAUAAACUUAAUCGAAACUUGAGUUUUGAUUUUAUUUAUGUUCAUCACCAAAUUGCACUGUUUUCUCCGAAUUGGAGUCGAAGAAGAAUCGUGGAAAUUGGUUAAAAGUCACUUAAAACCAAUGGCACCAGUAAAAACAAAGGGAGCUUUUAACGCCAGCAGCAGCAGCUGUUUGUUUGAUUACCUUUUCACGCCAGCAGCAGCUCAAGUUCUCUGAAAAAACAGCUCAAGCUCAAGCAGCUCAAGUUACCAGCAGCAGCUCACAACAGCAGUCAGAUGGCAGCAGGGGAGCACCGUGACAGCAGCAACAGUUGAUAGUAGGUGACAGCGGUAGGUGACAGUGGCAGCGGGGACGAGAGUCGGCGAUGAGCAGCGGUGGCAAAUCAGAUUCGUGAAGGAUGAGCAGCAGCAGCAGCGGGGACGAGAUUCCAGCGGUGAAGGUUUGUGAAGAUCAGAAGAUGAGAAGAAUCAAGAAUGUGUUAGAUUAGGGAUUGUGUAAAAAUCAAUUUGAGUUCGGUUGUUUCCUAUGGUCGGUUCGGUUUUUCGAUUUUUCACUAGUAUAACUUGUAAGGUUGGUCAAAGCAAAGCUAUAAGGGAAAGAAAAUAUAAUAUAAAAGUAUAGAUCAUCUAAAAGAAAAAAUAAUUGUAAGUUUUUUUUCUUUGUUUGCCAUUUUUUUAAUUAAACAUGAAC